rnacentral:RNase_P_RNA from 1 species
CCGGUCAAACGGGAGGAAAGUCCGGACACCACAGGGCGGGAUUCCCUUCGAAAGCGGGGGCGGCGCGGGUCAAGACGCGUCGACGGACAGUGCAACAGAGAAUAUACCGCCACGCCGGAUUCGUCCGGCGGGGUAAGGGUGAAAAGGUGGGGUAAGAGCCCACCGCGCCGGCGGCAACGACGGCGGCACGGUAAACCCAAUCCGGUGCAAGGCCAAAUAGGGGAGCGGGCGGCCCGUCCCAUGCUCCCGGGUGUGCUGCACCGUCGCAUCGGCGGCGGGGCCGGGAAACCGGCCAGAGGAAUGAAGGUGACCGUCGGGACCGCGAGGUCACGGCGGUACAAAAUCCGGCUUACAGC